rnacentral:rRNA from 1 species
UACAUAUCAAUAAGCGGAGGAAAAGAAACCAACAGGGAUUGCCUUAGUAACGGCGAGUGAAGCGGCAAUAGCUCAAAUUUGAAAUCUGGCGCUUGCGUCCGAGUUGUAAUUUGCAGAGGAUGAUUUUGGUUAGGUACCUUCCGAGUUCCUUGGAACAGGACGCCUUAGAGGGUGAGAGCCCCGUACGGUUGGAUGCCGAGCCUUUGUAAAUCUCCUUCGACGAGUCGAGUAGUUUGGGAAUGCUGCUCUAAAUGGGAGGUAAAUUUCUUCUAAAGCUAAAUACCGGCCAGAGACCGAUAGCGCACAAGUAGAGUGAUCGAAAGAUGAAAAGCACUUUGAAAAGAGGGUUAAAUAGCACGUGAAAUUGUUGAAAGGGAAGGAUUUAUGACCAGACUUUUUCUAGGAGGAUCAUCCGGUGUUCUCACCGGUGCACUUCUUCUAGUCUAGGCCAGCAUCGACUUUCGGCGGUGGAUAAAAGCUUUGGGAAUGUGACUCCUUUCGGGGAGUGUUAUAGCCUAUUGUAUAAUACACUGCUGGGGGUCGAGGUACGCGCUUCUGCAAGGAUGCUGGCGUAAUGGUUAUCAAUCACCCGUCUUGAAACACGGACCAAGGAGUCGAACAUUUGUGCAAGUGUUUGGGUGUUAAACCCUCACGCGUAAUGAAAGUGAACGGAGGUGAGAGCCCUUACGGGUGCAUCAUCGACCGAUCCUGAUGUUUUCGGAUGGAUUUGAGUAAGAGCAUAACUGUUCGGACCCGAAAGAUGGUGAACUAUGCGUGGAUAGGGUGAAGCCAGAGGAAACUCUGGUGGAGGCUCGCAGCGGUUCUGACGUGCAAAUCGAUCGUCAAAUCUGCGCAUGGGGGCGAAAGACUAAUCAAACCAUCUAGUAGCUGGUACCCGCGAU